rnacentral:piRNA from 1 species
UCCAGUGACUUUUAGACCCUAACACAUAGU